GUGUACAAAACCUAUGGCGGGCAAACCAUUCACUCAUUCCCCCCAAAUCGAUCCAUGAGCCCUCCCCCAAACCCCACGGCGCUGCCAGAUUGAUUCAACCCGGCCACAGAGGCUCGCUCGCCGCCACGACCUGCAGCCUUGGGAGUCAACUUACCUCCUCAGCCGCUCGCGCGCCGCACCUCGUCUGCUGCACUAGGUAGAUAAUCUUCGGUGGUCGUUUCACCUUUGCUCAGGACUAUGCAAACAGCAGUUGGUGCUUUUGGAGGUGAAGCUACUGCUGUUGGGAUUGAUGUGCCUCCACUGAUGGCAGAAAAUACGGGCAAUAGGCAUUCAUCCUUGUGAUUGGAGGAGAAGUAUAAGUGAGUACAAAUCCAUGUUCCCAGCAAUUGAUUUUUCUUUGAUAGAAACUGACCACCAUGUUUGGUGGAGCCCAAAGACUAGAGAAAAGCCUGAAGACGUUGCAGCCCGGGGGUUGAAGUUUAUGAAAUGGCUGUUGACACGCAAAGAGAAGGAGAUUGUGGUUGUAUUCCACGGUGGUUUCCUGGUUCAUACACUUGGUGCAUAAGGAGAUAACUGUCAUCCCACACUCAAAAAAAGAAAUGUCCAUAUUGGACUAACAACUGAAGAAAGAAAGAAAAUCUUGUUAGAUGUAGCUGAUGUUGAAGCUGCACGCGAUGCAGGCUACGAUGAAGCUUUGGUAGCUCAUUUGGCUUUAAAACCUUGCAAGGCAUGUAUCCAUUAUUCUCU